GCAUCGGUUUCGAUUUUUCUGUUGGCAAGGGGAUUCUCUCUGGUUGCGUUAUUCCCAGCAUAUCAGAGUAAUACUUCCGCGUGAAAGAAUCGCAAUCGUGCAGGAGGAAACGUCGACUGAAUAUGAAUAUCGUCUCGCCUAUCUGCAACAGGUCGCAACCCUGAUCUGCAAUGGUAGACGGAAUUAUAAUAAAUUAAUAAAAAUAAUUCUACACGGUUGAAAAUGUGUGUCCUCGCGUAUAAAAGUUACAUGUUUUGUAUCGAUUAUUGCACACAGUUGAGUUAUUCGACAACUUCUGAGUCGCUGCAUUCCAAGUAUAUAGCUGGAUAGGAGGACGUUAGGUUUCUGAAUCGCGCGCACGGCUAUCGUGUCGUCCGUUAGGAAAUACAUUAUUUGAUAAGUAUCUUCGUUCCAAGUGGCGGUGAACGUUAACACCAUUUUAUCGUACUCCAAAAAUCGACGCCUGGCGUCAUCCGGGAUCUGUGUGAUGUGCGUCGGUGUCCUCAUCUUAGACGCGCGAAGAAACGUGUAAGGAUCGACCGGGGGUUCCUCCUUAUCUCCCACAUCUAUGCCUUGACUGUUUAAAAACUCUCUGCCAUACAUCCUGCGGACAAGCAGCCAGCCACUGGUACAGUGAUCAACCACGCGAACGCAAUAUUACGAAAUAAUUUCCAUGAAACCCCUUCACCGCCACGCGAAGCCCACCCCACGCAGACGACUGAUCCCACUUUGCAAUGUGUUGUUGACACAGGUACCGAACGUUGUUGUUGCUUUUUCGUUGCUACUCAGCGAAAGUAAUAUCCUCUUUCUUUGCCAUGGCACGACAAAUAAAUAAACAAUGACGGCUGAAAACAAACCGCAGCCCGAUGCAGCAAGUAAACUACCCCAC